rnacentral:rRNA from 1 species
UUAACCCUUCGGGGGGUACGAUGGCAUGGCGUACAUUAGCUAGUUGGUGAGGUUAUGGCUCACCAGCUACGAUGUUUAGGGGGUCUGAGAGGAUGGUCCCCCACACUGGCACUGAGAUACGGGCCAGACUCCUACGGGAGGCAGCAGUCGGGAAUAUUGGGCAAUGGACGGAAGUCUGACCCAGCCAUACCGCGUGCAGGAAGAAGUCCUAUGGAUUGUAAACUGCUUUUGUUUGGGAAGAAAAGAGGGUUUCGACCCUUAAUUGACGUUACCAGACGAAUAAGCCACGGUAACUACGUGCCAGCAGCCGCGGUAAUACGUAGUGGCAAGCGUUAUCCGGAUUUAUUGGGUUUAAAGGGUGCGUAGGCGGGCAAAUAAGUCAGAGGUGAAAAGCUGGUUGCUUAACAAUCAAAUUGCUUUGAUACUGUUUGUCUUGAAUACAGUUGAGGUGGCUGGAAAUGAGUAGUGUAGCGGGUGAAAAUGCUUAGAUUUUACUCAGAACAACCAUUGCGAAAGGCAGGUCACUAACUGAUUUUGACGGCUUGAGGGCACGAAAGUUUGGGGUUUGCAAACCGGAUUUAAUCCCUGGGUGGUCCCAAA